CUCUCUGUCUCUGUUUCUCUCUCUCCAGCUCUCUCUCUGUCUCUGUUUCUCUCUCCAUCUCUCUCUCUCUCUCUCUCUCUCUCUCUGUCUCUGUCUCUCUCUCUCUCUCUCUCUCUCUCUCUCCCUCUCCCUCUCCGUCUCCGUCUCCCUCUCUCUCUCUCUCUCUCUCUCUCUCUCUCUCUGUCUCUGUCUCCCUCUCUCUCUCUCUCCCUCUCUGUCUCCGUCUCCCUCUCUCUCUCUCUCUCUCCCUCUCCCUCUCUCCAUCUCUCUCUCUCUGUCUCCCUCUCUCUGUCUCUGUUUCUCUCUCUCUCUCCCUCUCUCCAUCCCUCUCUCUCUGUCUCCCUCUCUCUGUCUCUGUUUCUCUCUCUCUCUCUCUCUCUCCCUCUCCCUCUCUCCAUCUCUCUCUCUCUGUCUCCCUCUCUCUGUCUCUGUUUCUCUCUCUCUCUCUCUCUCUCCCUCUCCCUCUCUCUAUCAAUCUCUCUCUCUCUCUCUCUCUCUCUCUCUCUCUGCUAAGCCUGAUAUUAAAAAGGGAUUAAAGUGCUGAAAACAACAGAGAGCAAUUUCCUGCAUCCUGGUAGGACACUCCACAGACAGAGAGACGCACAGAGAGACGGAGAAACGGAGGAGUGAAAAUAGGAGGAACAGCGUGACGGCCUGCUGCCAAGAAAGGGGAGAAGGAGAGGUGAAGGGAGGAGAGAGAGAGAGAGAGCUUUUCACCAUGCUCUCUCUUUCUCAUUCCACACCUCAUUGUCUUUCUCUCUUUCUAUGCUCCCUUUCUUUCUUUCUGUCUACGCUCCCUUUCUCUUUCUCUGUCUACGCUCCCUUCCUUUCUCUCUCAGUAUGCUCCCUUUCUUUCUUUCUUUCUUUCUUUCUACGCUCCCUCUCUCUUUCACUCUCUCUACGCUCCCUCUCUCUUUCACUCUCUCUACACUCCCUUUCUCUUUCACUCUCUCUACGCUCCCUCUCUCUUUCACUCUCUCUACGCUCCCUCUCUCUUUCACUCUCUAUGCUCCCUUUCUCUUUCACUCUCUCUACGCUCCCACUCUCUCUUUCACUCUCUCUACGCUCCCACUCUCUUUCACUCUCUCUACACUCCCUUUCUCUUUCACUCUCUCUACGCUCCCUCUCUCUUUCACUCUCUAUGCUCCCUUUCUCUUUCACUCUCUCUACGCUCCCACUCUCUCUUUCACUCUCUCUACGCUCCCACUCUCUUUCACUCUCUCUACACUCCCUUUCUCUUUCACUCUCUCUACGCUCCCUCUCUCUUUCACUCUCUCUACGCUCCCUCUCUCUUUCACUCUCUCUACGCUCCCUCUCUCUUUCACUCUCUAUGCUCCCUUUCUCUUUCACUCUCUCUACGCUCCCACUCUCUCUUUCACUCUCUCUACGCUCCCUCUCUCUUUCACUCUCUCUACACUCCCUUUCUCUUUCACUCUCUCUACGCUCCCUCUCUCUUUCACUCUCUCUACGCUCCCUCUCUCUUUCACUCUCUAUGCUCCCUUUCUCUUUCACUCUCUCUACGCUCCCACUCUCUCUUUCACUCUCUCUACGCUCCCUCUCUCUUUCACUCUCUCUACGCUCCCACUCUCUCUUUCACUCUCUCUACGCUCCCUCUCUCUUUCACUCUCUCUACGCUCCCUCUCUAUGCUCCCUUUCUCUUUCACUCUCUCUACGCUCCCACUCUCUCUUUCACUCUCUCUACGCUCCCACUCUCUCUUUCACUCUCUCUACGCUCCCUCUCUCUUUCACUCUCUCUACGCUCCCUCUCUCUUUCACUCUCUCUACGCUCCCUCUCUUUCACUCUCUAUGCUCCCUUUCUCUUUCACUCUCUCUACGCUCCCUCUCUCUUUCACUCUCUCUACGCUCCCUCUCUCUUUCACUCUCUAUGCUCCCUUUCUCUUUCACUCUCUCUACGCUCCCACUCUCUCUUUCACUCUCUCUACGCUCCCUCUCUCUUUCACUCUCUCUAUGCUCCCACUCUCUCUUUCACUCUCUCUACGCUCCCUCUCUCUUUCACUCUCUCUACGCUCCCUCUCUCUUUCACUCUCUCUACGCUCCCACUCUCUCUUUCACUCUCUCUACGCUCCCACUCUCUCUUUCACUCUCUCUACGCUCCCUCUCUCUUUCACUCUCUCUACGCUCCCUCUCUCUUUCACUCUCUCUACGCUCCCUUUCUCUUUCACUCUCUACGCUCCCUCUCUCUUUCACUCUCUAUGCUCCCUUUCUCUUUCACGCUCUCUACGCUCCCUCUCUUUCAUUCUCUCUAUGCUCCCUCUCUUUCACUCUCUCUACGCUCCCUCUCUCUUUCACUCUCUCUACGCUCCCUCUCUCUUUCACUCUCUCUACGCUCCCUCUCUUUCAUUCUCUCUAUGCUCCCUCUCUUUCACUCUCUACGUUCCCUCUCUCUUUCACUCUCUCUACGCUCCCUCUCUCUACGCUCCCACUCUCUCUUUCACUCUCUCUACGCUCCCUUUCUCUUUCACUCUCUCUAUGCUCCCUCUCUCUUUCACUCUCUCUAUGCUCCCUCUCUCUUUCACUCUCUCUACGCUCCCUCUCUUUCACUCUCUCUACGUUCCCUCUCUUUCACUCUCUCUACGUUCCCUCUCUCUUUCACUCUCUCUACGCUCCCUCUCUCUACGCUCCCACUCUCUCUUUCACUCUCUCUACGCUCCCUUUCUCUUUCACUCUCUCUAUGCUCCCUCUCUCUUUCACUCUCUCUACGCUCCCUCUCUUUCACUCUCUCUACGUUCCCUCUCUUUCACUCUCUCUACGUUCCCUCCCUCUUUCACUCUCUCUACGUUCCCUCCCUCUUUCACUCUCUCUAUGCUCCCUCUCUCUUUCACUCUCUCUACGUUCCCUCUCUCUUUCACUCCUCUUUCACUCUCUCUACGUUCCCUCCCUCUUUCACUCUCUCUACGCUCCCUCUCUCUUUCACUCUCUCUACGCUCCCUCUCUUUCAUUCUCUCUACACUCCCUUUCUCUUUCACUCUCUACGCUCCCUUUCUCUUUCACUCUCUACGCUCCCUCUCUCUUUAACUCUCUCUACGCUCCCUCUCUCUUUCACUCUCUCUACGCUCCCUUUCUCUUUCUUUCUUUCUAUGCUCCCUUUCUUUCUCUCUCUCUACGCUCCCUUUCUCUCUCUACACUCCCUCCCUCUUUCUCUCUCUACACUACCUUUCUCAUUCUCUCUCUAUGCUCCCUUUCUCUCUCUACACUUCCUCUCUCUUUCUACACCUUUCUUUCUUUCUACAUCUUUCUCUUUCUUGCUCUAUGUUCCCUUUCUCUCUUUCUCUCUACAUUCCCUCUUUCUCUCUCUACACUACCUUUCUCAUUCUCUCUCUACGCUCCCUUUCUCUCUCUACACUCCCUCCCUCAUUCUCUCUCUACACUCCCUCUCUCAUUCUUUCUUUCUCUCUACACUCCCUCUCUUAUUCUCUCU
ensembl:lncRNA